UACAGAGGUCCCAAGCGUUGUUCGGAAUUACUGGGCGUAAAGGGCUCGUAGGCGGCCAACUAAGUCGGAUGUGAAAUCCCCAGGCUUAACCUGGGAACUGCAUCCGAUACUGGAUGGCUUGAAUCCGGGAGAGGGAUGCGGAAUUCCAGGUGUAGCGGUGAAAUGCGCAGAUAUCAGGAGGAACACCGGUGGCGAAGGCGGGUCUCUGGGCCGAUACUGACGCUGAGGAGCGAAAGCGUGGGGAGCGAACAGG
rnacentral:rRNA from 1 species